rnacentral:rRNA from 1 species
UACGAAGGGAGCAAGCGUUGUCCGGAAUCAUUGGGCGUAAAGAGCGCGUAGGUGGCUGCAUAAGUCCGUUGUGAAAGUCAAAGGCUCAACCUUUGAAAGCCGAUGGAUACUGUGGAGCUAGAGUACGGAAGAGGCGAGUGGAAUUCCUGGUGUAGCGGUGGAAUGCGCAGAUAUCAGGAGGAACACCAAUAGCGAAGGCAGCUCGCUGGGACGUUACUGACACUGAGGCGCGAAAGCGUGGGGAGCGAACAGG